AAAAAGGCAAAUCUUGUAUUUCCGUGUCCAACUUUAACUGUCCGUCUUAAUAAUUUUUUUUAUAAUUCGUAUUUUCAUUGGUGUUAGACGAUAAAAUAUGAUUAAUAUUUUAUGCGUGACUUGUCUUUUUAAUUUUUUUCAUAUUUUAUUCAAAUAAGACGAAUGGUCAAAUGUUGGGCACGAAAAUCAGGGUUUGUCUUUUU
rfam:Oryza sativa (indica cultivar-group) chromosome 5, whole genome shotgun sequence.